rnacentral:rRNA from 1 species
UACGUAGGGGGCAAGCGUUGUCCGGAUUUAUUGGGCGUAAAGGGUUCGCAGGCGGCCUUUUAAGUCAGGUGUGAAAGACUACAGCUCAACUGUGGUAAGCACUUGAAACUGGAAGGCUUGAGUUAAGGAGAGGAAAGUGGAAUUCCUAGUGUAGCGGUGAAAUGCGUAGAUAUUAGGAGGAAUACCAGUGGCGAAGGCGACUUUCUGGACUUAUACUGACGCUGAGGAACGAAAGCGUGGGGAGCAAACAGG